UCGGGCGGCGACCCUUCCUCAAACCAGGCCUUGCCUGUUUAUAAGUCCGAAUGCAUGUAAUUUGUUCUGCUGCACCCGUUGCCCCAGGGUACCACUCCCAAAGAAGUGUCUCCUGCUGUGACUGAGUCUCCAAGAGCCCUUCCACAUCUCGGAUUCUGCAGUGCACACAGCCGCACCCUUCCCGGGACUGGGGCGAUUUGAGACUCCCGAUUCCUUCCGCAAGGAACGCUUUCCUUCUGCCAUGGACGCUUUCUUUAUUUUGUUUCUCAGUUCCUUUACUGCAUCCUCUCGUGGUACUAUCUCAAGAGCCUUCAUCAUACUACAUUGCCUUCCUAAAUGCGCUCCCCAGCUCGUCCUCAUAGAAGUGGACCUAAUUAUCGUGUGUCUAGCGCUUACCGAGAGCUUUAUAAAUGCUUUUGAGCAGAAAGAGCAAAAAUCCAGUAACCAGUGUGGGAUGAAGUGGGGCAACGGAAUGAAUGGGGAAAGCGGGAGAGAGUGAAGAUGGCAGCUCUCAGAUCCAGGAAAGAACACCUCUCUUCUCAGAUUCAUUCAUCUUUCCGAAGCUGACAGAUUUGUCCAGCACAAAGAUAAAGGUAAUUCAGGAUUUCAAUGCUUUCCUCAGGUAUACUGUAUACCUGACAAUAACUACCAAGGCUCACCCAAAGCUAUGACUGUAGUUCGGACUUAAGCAUUUAUUGGGUGGGUUCAGCACCCUCCUAUAGUCUCUUCCAGGAUUUGUCUUAUGUAAACCCUAAAACCUCCACCAACCAUUACUUCUUGGAGUCUAACAAGUACUGAACAGACUUCUAUCCAUUCUCUUUGGGACAAUAGCUAAACGUCAUCCAUUGCUGUAAAAGAAGUACCUAGGAAAUUAUCUCAACCUAUGAACCUUCAGAUAAUGGAGGCGUAGGACACAUGCUGUAAAACAUGUUGUUUUAAGCUCAGUAAACUUGACUAAUGUUCAAUGUGGGCAAUGUAAAGUCUUUAGUAUUCCAUGGAUAUUAGUGUAGCAUUUGGUUAUGUUGUUUCUAGUUAAAAUUACAUAACCCACCCACUUUUUUCUGUCAUAUAUUUCUUGAAUCUUUACAUACUUAAUGCCUUUCUUAUUGUGGGAGUUCAAUGAUUAUUCCACAAGUCAGCAGACUGGUUUCUGGGCAUACUUUCAAGAGCAUUAGUGUCUUAGUGACCCAUUCCCUGGGUGGAAAUGUACAGGUGUUCACUGAGAACACAGGUAUUUGACCAGAACUUGGAAAUGAUUGGUGUUUGAUAUGACAGUGAGGCUUCUAGGAAAAAUGGUAAAGUUCAGGCUUCCCAAAAUAAAGGUGGGUGCUAACCAUGAAAGCCUGUCUCUUCUUGAUGUAACCCUGGUCUGUUCUGAAGAUAGAAAAAUGCAGUGCAGUGGGUUCUGACUGUGGAGGAACCCUCCCCUUUUAUAGGUUCAGGGAUCACUUUUAAAGCACACAUACCAACCCAAGAAAUUCUUAUCAACUCAUAGGUCACCUAUCCUUAGCAUAGUGCCUGGCACAUAGUAAGCCCUUCACAAAUGGCUAAGUUGUCUUGAUCUGUGGCUUUUCUUCGUAUUUGCCAUUUCAUAUCAAUGACCCUGGGGAUUGAAGGUUGGAGAAUGGGAAAAUGAGCUUAUUAUCCAAGGCUCACAGGACUCUUACCUAUUUGCCUAAGUCUGUUAAUGAUUGCUUUGCCUAACAUUAUGAUGAAGAAAUUUUGACUGAAUCAAGUUAAAAUGUUAGAUGCUUAAUUCAUAUUCAUAGCAAGUUGUGUUUAUGGUCUGUAUAAAAAGUCUACUUUUUUAUGAAGUGGGUUUUCCCAAGUUUAGAGAAAGGAA